UACACUCCCUCUAACAGCCUGUGUUGA
rnacentral:piRNA from 1 species